CUGAGGGGAAACUCAAAAGGAUUGAAGCGCAAGGCAUUCGCUAGCUUUUUUUGUUAAAUGCAAGUUUUUCAAGCAUGAAAGGUAAACGGUAUAAUAACUGCUUCGAAACAAAAAAAGAAGAAGAAGAAGAGAGAGACGUAUAGAUUCUUGCCUGCCUAUUCUUUCUUUCAGUUUCUCCAAGAGGCGAAGAUUAUCGUACUCAAUUUUGGUAAUGAGUUUCUCGAUAAAAACGCUGCGCUCCAAUGCUCCCAGCUUGGUAACAUCGAUCACCUUUCUCUUCCCUUCAAUUUUGAUAUCCUCUUCUUCUUUGGUAGUAUCAUUUGAAAGCUCGAAAUCGAACAAUGAGGUUCUUACGCGCUUAAAAGUGGGCAGUCUCUGAAUCGCAGCCCACUGCAACUCGAUCUCGUCAUCAUUAUUUUCUCUCAACGACGACGACAUCGCGAGGUCCGAGGUAGUGCUUCUGAAGCUUGACGAUAAGUGGCGAAAAGGGAGUUGGAUGAUAAAUAUGAACCGUGUCGUGUUUUUGCAUGCUUCUAUUUGCCUCUUAGUUAUCUAUUUAUUAUCAAGUAAAGGCUAAAGCUGCUUACGUUACUACUUUGAAUGCAAUUUUUAUUUUUAAA